AGUGGAAUAGCUGGAUCAAAUGGUGGUUCCAUCCCAAGUUUGCUGAGGAGUACCCAUACUGCUUUCCAGAGAGGUUGUACCAAUUUGGAAUCCCACCAGCAAU
rnacentral:pre_miRNA from 1 species